rnacentral:lncRNA from 1 species
AUAAAGGCAGCUAUACACAACAUGGAUAGAAGACCAUGGUCAAAAAGAGAGGUAGGAAGAUGCUAGACUGGACGACACGGAUAGAAGAUCACCUAUAUACAACAACAAAAGCGGCUGAACAAUGGAGUAGCGGUUAGGAUCAUUCAUCGAAAAGGCGUUUCUUUGUUGGCUUGCGCUUGCCUUGGCCAAGUGCUGGGUCCAUUUCCUUUC